CAGUCGCCGCGGUAAUACGUAGGGUGCGAGCGUUAAUCGGAAUUACUGGGCGUAGAGCGUGCGCAGGCGGUUGUGUAAGACAGGUGUGAAAUCCCCGGGCUUAACCUGGGAACUGCGCUUGUGACUGCACAGCUAGAGUAUGGCAGAGGGGGGUGGAAUUCCACGUGUAGCAGUGAAAUGCGUAGAGAUGUGGAGGAACACCGAUGGCGAAGGCAGCCCCCUGGGCCAAUACUGACGCUCAUGCACGAAAGCGUGGGGAGCAAACAGGAUUAGAUACCCCCGUAGUCCCUGUCUCUUAUAC
rnacentral:rRNA from 1 species